UGCCUCCCCACUUGGAAAAGCUGUGUGAA
rnacentral:piRNA from 1 species